rnacentral:rRNA from 1 species
CCUUACCCACCUUUGACAUGGCAGGAACUUACCAGAGAUGGUUUGGUGCUCGAAAGAGAACCUGCACACAGGUGCUGCAUGGCUGUCGUCAGCUCGUGUCGUGAGAUGUUGGGUUAAGUCCCGCAACGAGCGCAACCCUUGCCAUUAGUUGCUACGAAAGGGCACUCUAAUGGGACUGCCGGUGACAAACCGGAGGAAGGUGGGGAUGACGUCAAGUCCUCAUGGCCCUUAUAGGUGGGGCUACACACGUCAUACAAUGGCUGGUACAAAGGGUUGCCAACCCGCGAGGGGGAGCCAAUCCCAUAAAACCAGUCGUAGUCCGGAUCGCAGUCUGCAACUCGACUGCGUGAAGUCGGAAUCGCUAGUAAUCGUGGAUCAGCAUGUCACGGUGAAUACGUUCCCGGGUCUUGUACACACCGCCCGUCACACCAUGGGAGCGGGUCUCGCCAGAAGUAGGUAGCCUAACCGCAAGGAGGGCGCUUACCACGGCGGGGUUCGUGACUGGGGUGAAGUCGUAACAAGGUAAGCGUAGUGCU